AGGCUUUUAGCUGGAUAUCGUGUCUUGAAAAGAUGAAGAUUUUAAAUAAGGCUGAAUUACAACAAGCAGAAAAGGUUCUGCGGUCACACUUCCCAAAAAGCUCCAUGGCUUAUGGAUAUCUGUUUGCUAUGAAUAGAGACAAACCACAUAUACUAGAGGUUGUUGUGGACUCCUGGCCUGAUUUUAAAACCAUCAUUUGUCGACCGCACCCACAGAGUGAACACACCCUGCUUCAUAAUGAGGGACUGACUUUCUUCAGUACUGAUGAGAAGGUUCUUAAGAGAAUGUUGACAGAAG